GACGAACGCUGGCGGCGUGCCUAAUACAUGCAAGUUGAGCGCUGAAGGUUGGUACUUGUGCCCACUGGAUGAGCAGCGAACGGGUGAGUAACGCGUGGGGAAUCUGCCUUUGAUCGGGGGACAACAUUUGGAAACGAAUGCUAAUACCGCAUAAAAACUUUAAACACAAGUUUUAAGUUUGAAAGAUGCAAUUGCAUCACUCAAAGAUGAUCCCGCGUUGUAUUAGCUAGUUGGUGAGGUAAAGGCUCACCAAGGCGAUGAUACAUAGCCGACCUGAGAGGGUGGUCGGCCACAAUGGGACUGGGACACGGCCCAAACUCCUACGGGAAGCAGCAGGAGGGAAUCUUCGGCAAUGGACGAAAGGCUGACCGAGCAACGCCGCGGGAGGGAAGAAGGGUUUCGGAUCGGAAAACUCUGUUGGUAGAGAAGAACGUUGGUGAGAGUGGAAAGCUCAUCAAGUGACGGUAACUACACAGAAAGCGACGGCUAACUACGUG
rnacentral:rRNA from 1 species